UACGGAGGGUGCGAGCGUUAAUCGGAUUUACUGGGCGUAAAGCGUACGUAGGCGGCUUUUUAAGUCGGAUGUGAAAUCCCUGGGCUUAACCUAGGAAUUGCAUUCGAUACUGGGAAGCUAGAGUAUGGUAGAGGAUGGUAGAAUUCCAGGUGUAGCGGUGAAAUGCGUAGAGAUCUGGAGGAAUACCGAUGGCGAAGGCGGCCAUCUGGACUAAUACUGACGCUGAGGUACGAAAGCGUGGGGAGCAAACAGG
rnacentral:rRNA from 1 species